GCCCCUGUAGCUCAGUGGAUCAGAGCGUCUGACUUCGGAUCAGAAGGUCGCGGGUUCAAAUCCUGCCGGGGGCG
rnacentral:tRNA from 1 species